UGGGGAAUAUUGCACAAUGGGCGCAAGCCUGAUGCAGCCAUGCCGCGUGUAUGAAGAAGGCCUUCGGGUUGUAAAGUACUUUCAGCGGGGAGGAAGGUGUUGUGGUUAAUAACCACAGCAAUUGACGUUACCCGCAGAAGAAGCACCGGCUAACUCCGUGCCAGCAGCCGCGGUAAUACGGAGGGUGCAAGCGUUAAUCGGAAUUACUGGGCGUAAAGCGCACGCAGGCGGUCUGUUAAGUCGGAUGUGAAAUCCCCGGGCUCAACCUGGGAACUGCAUCCGAAACUGGCAGGCUUGAGUCUUGUAGAGGGGGGUAGAAUUCCAGGUGUAGCGGUGAAAUGCGUAGAGAUCUGGAGGAAUACCGGUGGCGAAGGCGGCCCCCUGGACAAAGACUGACGCUCAGGUGCGAAAGCGUGGGGAGCAAACA
rnacentral:rRNA from 1 species